UCGUGUCGUGAGAUGUUGGGUUAAGUCCCGCAACGAGCGCAACCCUCACCCCUUGUUGCCAUCAGGUGAUGCUGGGCACUCUAGGGGAACUGCCCCGGUCAACGGGGAGGAAGGUGGGGAUGACGUCAAGUCAUCAUGCCCCUUACGCCCUGGGCUACACACGUGCUACAAUGGCCGGUACAAAGGGAUGCCAUACCGCGAGGUGGAGCUAAACCCAGAAAGCCGGUCUAAGUUCAGAUUGGAGUCUGCAACUCGACUCCAUGAAGGAGGAAUCGCUAGUAAUCGC
rnacentral:rRNA from 1 species